ensembl:lncRNA
AUGGCUCUCAAUCUUAACGUCGACGAGGCUCGAAGCGGCGAAGAUAACACAACACCUGUUGACGAUGCUCGUUGUCUUUCAAAUGGUGACGAGAAUACAACUCAAAGUCAGCUUGUUACACCAUCAGGUGUCCCGUCGUCGUGUGCACCUGAUAAAUCAGCGGCUCCGGAUAACCUCAAACCGGUGGUAUCAGUACCUUUGAGUGGCAGUAACAGUGGGUCUGAACCGGUGACGCCGGGGGAUUCACUCCAGGCUAUAACAACCCAGAGUCUUGAGCCCAAGUCCAGUGGAUGCAACACGUCUGCCUUGAGAUGUGGGGAAAAGCGGGAGAGGGAAUCAGACGACCCCUCUGAAGUUCCUGUGAAACGCCGCUUGAGACCAUCAGAGGAUAACGGGAAAGAAUGUUCACCAGAUUACGACCAGAGAUGUGCGGAGCUAUGGAUCGAUGGUGAAAUGGCUGCUUGUGAGGCUUAUGAAUUAUCAAAGUCCAGCAGCGACACCCAGCGCCGACAUGUUGUUCCACAACACGACAAUAACAGUUCUGUCAGUCGGCCUCCCACACAGAAGGACUUUGCACGUGCUGUUCGAGCCGAAGUGGCAGCCUGUUUUCAACCCCUCACAAAGUUGAUUAGUUUGAGUAUUGAGUGGAGCAGAACUGAUUUCGCUGAGGUGAUAAGUAGACUUCGUGCACUGCAGAGGGAUACCACAGAGUUGGGAAGUGAAAUCCGUAAUAUGCGAGCAGAUAAAAGACAGGCGUUAGAUGAAAUCUCUCUUAUGGAAGAAAGAAUGAGCGUCAUUCAAAGGUGUGUGUUAGAGACGCACCAAAUUAUGAAUACUACUAGAAAAUGAUGGGUCUGUUUAUCAUAGCAUACUGAUUUUGGUUCAACCCUAUUUCUGCUAAACUUUUCUUCUUUUUUUAUAUAAUUGUAUUAACGAGUGAUUAUAAUUUUUUUUUUUUUUUUAUGAUGUGCAUGCUUGUUUAUUACAUAACUUUUGUGUGUUAUUUUAAUUUUUUUUUUUUUAAUAAAUUGUUUCAAAAUGGCCCUAAAAGAUGUCACAGUGAUUUCAAUGACAUCCAACCAGAUGUGUAUGUGUGUAUGUAUCUAUAUAUAAGGCUUAUUUUAUAUGUAACUACAGAUAAGUAUUGAAACAAUUUAAAUCUAGAAAAAAAAUUGUAUUUUACCUAAUAUUUGUCUCUGCAGUGUAUUGUUUUAUUUUAUGCACUGAUCAGCCAAAGCAUUAAUAAUGCGAACAGGUGAAGUGAAUAACAUUGAUUUUGUUUUUUAAAUGGCACCUGUCAAGGGGCAGUAUAUAUUAGACAGCAAGUGAACAGUCAAAUCUUGAAUUUCAUAUGAUGAAAGUUGAAAAAAUGGGCAAACAAAAAAGAUAUGAGUGACUACGACAAGUGCCACAUAGUGACGGCAAGACAACUGGUUCAGAGCAUCUCCAAAACAAGAAUCAUGUGAGGUGUCCCGAUAUGCAGUGGUUGGUAUCUACCAAAAGUGAUGCAAGGAAGCAGCGUCAAGGUCAUGGGCGGCCAAGGCACACUGAUGCAUGUAGUAUACAAGCUCAUAAGUGUAUAGUACAGUGCUGUGCAAAAUUCUUGUAAGAUUCCUUCACCAAGGUAAGGAAGGCAAAUAUAUGUUUUGUGAUUAGUUCACCCAAAAUAAAAGAUUAGACAGAUUUAGCGCAUUAAAUAUGUUAAGCUCAGAUGGUCACACAUGUGAGCUAUUAUGUUUAUUAACGUAUGUAGUCAGGGACAGAGUACAAGGAUAAGUGUCUAACAUAAUUCUAUAUUUUAAGCCAAGCAGAAUCAUGAAUAUUUCUAUUCUGGUGUCACCACUGCCCUGUGAUGCGGGAGAAGAACCAAAUCAAAGUCUGUUCAAGUCCAUUCCUGACGAAAUAUCAACUCGAACAUUUUAAUGAACAGCAUUUUUUGUUAACGGUUCGUCAUCUUAGAAGUAAUAAUUAGACGAAAAGAUCUGCUUUAAUCGCCAUUGAUCACAGUACACUUAGACAAUUGUUUUAUAUUACACGUUAAUUAGGCUAAUUUUAUCCUAUCAUGUUUUUUUUUUUUUUCAAAUUCAUGUUAAAUAUUAAUAAUAAUUAGAUACUACAUAUAAUUUGGUAAUAAAACAUAAAUAGUUGCACAUUUUAUUGGUGCAAAGAUAAGUGUUUAUUUGGUACACCCAAUUGCAACAGCGUUUUAACACUUAAUUAAUUAGACGUGCUUAAUUUAGAACGCUUUUUAUCACUUAAUCUGUCAGAGGGACUACUGAACAGACAUUUAGCAGUUUAUCUAUUGAAAAUCAAAACAAAGCUCUAUAAACACCACGCACUGGUCGCGCAUGCAACUUGAAUUGUUUUUUGCACUAAUUGGUUUGUCCAAAAAAAGACAACACUGUCCCAGGCCACUGUGGCCGUGUACCACUUCAUUUGUUAUACCCUUCUCUCUUUCUCACUGCUGAUGUCAUAUAUGAAUGACGUCAUGUUUUUUCAUAUUGUAUGGAAGUCACUGUACAGCAUCAAAUCUAUUAAUUAAUAGCUGCAAUAGUCAUACAAGUAUAUAGCCUCUUAAACAUAUACAUUUUGAUUAUAUUUAUUAUAUAGGCCUACAUAGCGUGUGUUUUGUAUAUGUGUUUUAGCUUUUGUGUCUUGGGAUAACACACUUGUUACAGUUUUGUUGCAUAUUGAUAACACAGUAAGACUAAGCCAAAAAAAAAAAAAAAUGGCAGAUUGGUCUUUACUUUGCUAACACAACUUUAACUUUUUUGCAGUUAUUUAAUCCUUUGUAUGAUUCAAAUCUCAUGUUAAUGAAUGCACUGUUUUGCUGAGACCAAGCUAUUUUUUGGACACUGUGUUUAAUCUGUCUUUAGUGUAAAAUGUAGGAAAGGCUUUCAAUUGAAUUGCAUUUUUAUGCUUCACCACUAGAGGGCACAUGUCUUUUACACACAUAUCCAUAUAAAUUUGUACCUAAUUGCUCUCAGACAUGACGUGUACCCUUGUACUCAUCUCAUCAUUAAAGUUUUGUGGAUAUAACUCUCAGAGCCCUUACUCUCUAACCGGAGUCACCAGUUUUCAAGGACUAUCUGAACAUUUCAGAGGCACCGCUUUAUAUACAGUAGCCUAUAUAAAUAUUUAUGAUUUGCAUGCAGUUUUGGUUCUGUGCAUCCUUUGCACAAAAAUAAAUAGUCUCAUUCACAUUCAUCUUUGUGACUGUCAAUUCUUUAAAACACAGAUGUGACUUGUCAGAACAUUUGAUCUUUACACUAAAAAAUUGCUAGGAAUUUACAUGAUUAAAGAUUAUUAUUUAACAAAAUGUAAUUUUCCUAUUCGUUUGGGCUCUUUGACCUUGCAUAUUCAUAUUAAAAUUUCUGAUCUAGUCAUGUGAGAAGUGUGACAAAUGAAAACAUUUGUCAAAAUGAUGACAAGCUAGCUAGAAUAUGAAAUAAGCUAAUUGCCUGACUUUAAUAUAAUAUAACUAUUCUUAGCAUGAACAUGAAGAUUUUAUUUUACCAUUAUUUAAGCAUGAAGAUUAAUCAAUAACUUAUUUCAUAUUCAUAAAUGUUUGUGGAUGGAUCUUUCAUAAUAGUGAGGCAACGUCUUUGACAUCAAAACUCGACAUACAAAACACACUCAACAAAUAAAAACAACACAACAUAAACCAACAUUACAAAAUAAACAACACUUACUGCUAAAAGUGAACCAAAAACAAGUUCAAUAGCGCAAAUAAAACUAACAUUAAAAAAAAAAAAAAAAAUUGUUCAUGAUGCUUUGCAUGCUGGGUGCCUUCAUAUAUGCACUGGUAAAAAGACUGCAUAAUGAAGCUGCCAAGUUUCUGCAUCAUUACUCCAGUCUUCAGUGUCACAUGAUCCUUCAGAAAUCAGUCUAAUAUGCUGAUUUGCAGCUCAAGAAACAAUUCUUAUUAUUAAAUUUUGGGUAUUAAAAAAAUAAUAAUUUUAUUAGCAAGGCAUUAGUUUAUUAAAUGUGAUAGCAUAAAAGACUUUUAUAAUAUUACUAAAAAAAAAUAUGUUUCUACAAAAUUUAAAAACAUGUUUCUACAAAAACAUUAAGCAGCACUGAUAAUAAAAAAUAACCAUUAUUAAAAAAUGAGCACCACUAAUAACUGAUAAUAACUGAACAGCAAAUCAGAAUAUUCGAAUGAUUUCUGAAGGAUCAUGUGACACUGAAGACUGGAGUAAUGAUGCUGAAAAUACAGCAUUGAUCACAGGAAUACAUACCUUAAAUUAUUUUAAAUUAUUAAAUUAAUUUUAUGAUUUAAAUGUUAAAUUAAUUUAAUAAUUAAUUAAAUUAAUCUAAAAUAUAUUCAAAUAGACAUCAGUUAUUUUAAAUUGUAAUAAUAUUU